rnacentral:tRNA from 1 species
GGAGUUGUGGCUCAGUGGUAGAGCACUUGCCUGGCAUGUGUGAGGCACUGGGCUAGAUUCUCAGCACCA